rnacentral:rRNA from 1 species
UACAGAGGGGGCAAGCGUUGUUCGGAAUUACUGGGCGUAAAGGGCGCGUAGGCGGCCUUCUAAGUCGAACGUGAAAUCCCUGGGCUCAACCCAGGAACUGCGUCCGAUACUGGAAGGCUUGAAUCCGGGAGAGGGAUGUGGAAUUCCAGGUGUAGCGGUGAAAUGCGUAGAUAUCGAGAGGAACACCUGCGGCGAAGGCGGGUUGCUGGGCUGACACUGACGCUGAGGCGCGAAAGCUAGGGGAGCGAACGGG